GUCAGAGGAGCACUUGCUGGGGUGGAUCUCUCCAUCUGUCACAUGAGGACUCAUCAUCAGAUGCCUGGGAACUGGAGUUGCAGCCCCCCAGGAGCAUUCCAUGAACAAGGCACCCACAUUCCGAGUUUACAGACAACAAACCCAAGGCAGAAGGAGACAAAGAAACAGCUGUUAAUCAGAUAAAGAAAGGAAAUUCUAGCCGGGCAUGGUGGCACACGCCAGCACUCGGGAGGCAGAGGCAGGCGGAUUUCUGAGUUCGAGGCC